rnacentral:rRNA from 1 species
GGGUUGUGAGGUUAAGCGACUAAGCGUACACGGUGGAUGCCCUGGCAGUCAGAGGCGAUGAAGGACGUGCUAAUCUGCGAAAAGCGUCGGUAAGGUGAUAUGAACCGUUAUAGCCGGCGAUGUCCGAAUGGGGAAACCCAGUGUGAUUCGUCACACUAUCGUUAACUGAAUACAUAGGUUAACGAGGCGAACCGGGGAACUGAAACAUCUAAGUACCCCGAGGAAAAGAAAUCAACCGAGAUUCCCCAGUAGCGGCGAGCGAACGGGGAGCAGCCCAGAGUCUGAAUCAGCUUGUGUGUUAGUGGAACGGUCUGGAAAGUCCGACGGUACAGGGUGAUAGUCCCGUACACCAAAAUGCACAGGUUGUGAACUCGAAGAGUAGGGCGGGACACGUGGUAUCCUGUCUGAAUAUGGGGACCAUCCUCCAAGGCUAAAUACUCCUGACUGACCGAUAGUGAACCAGUACCGUGAGGAAAGGCGAAAAGAACCCCGGCGAGGGGAGUGAAAAAGAACCUGAAACCGUGUACGUACAAGCAGUGGGAGCACCUUCGGGUGUGACUGCGUACCUUUGUAUAAUGGGUCAGCGACUUAUAUUCUGUAGCAAGGUUAACCGUAUAGGGAGCCGCAGGAAACCGAGUCUUAACUGGGCGUUAAGUUGCAGGGUAUAGACCCGAAACCCGGUGAUCUAGCCAUGGGCAGGUUGAAGGUUGGGUAACACUAACUGGAGGACCGAACCGACUAAUGUUGAAAAAUUAGCGGAUGACUUGUGGCUGGGGUGAAAGGCCAAUCAAACCGGGAGAUAGCUGGUUCUCCCCGAAAGCUAUUUAGGUAGCGCCUCGUGAAUUCAUCUUCGGGGGUAGAGCACUGUUUCGGCUAGGGGGUCAUCCCGACUUACCAACCCGAUGCAAACUACGAAUACCGAAGAAUGUUAUCACGGGAGACACACGGCGGGUGCUAACGUCCGUCGUGAAGAGGGAAACAACCCAGACCGCCAGCUAAGGUCCCAAAGUCAUGGUUAAGUGGGAAACGAUGUGGGAAGGCACAGACAGCCAGGAUGUUGGCUUAGAAGCAGCCAUCAUUUAAAGAAAGCGUAAUAGCUCACUGGUCGAGUCGGCCUGCGCGGAAGAUGUAACGGGGCUAAACCAUGCACCGAAGCUGCGGCAGCGACACUAUGUGUUGUUGGGUAGGGGAGCGUUCUGUAAGCCUGCGAAGGUGUGCUGUGAGGCAUGCUGGAGGUAUCAGAAGUGCGAAUGCUGACAUAAGUAACGAUAAAGCGGGUGAAAAGCCCGCUCGCCGGAAGACCAAGGGUUCCUGUCCAACGUUAAUCGGGGCAGGGUGAGUCGACCCUAAGGCGAGGCCGAAAGGCGUAGUCGAUGGGAAACAGGUUAAUAUUCCUGUACUUGGUGUUACUGCGAAGGGGGGACGGAGAAGGCUAUGUUAGCCGGGCGACGGUUGUCCCGGUUUAAGCAUGUAGGCUGGUUGUCCAGGCAAAUCCGGAUAAUCAAGGCUGAGGUGUGAUGACGAGGCACUACGGUGCUGAAGUAACAAAUGCCCUGCUUCCAGGAAAAGCCUCUAAGCAUCAGGUAACAUCAAAUCGUACCCCAAACCGACACAGGUGGUCAGGUAGAGAAUACCAAGGCGCUUGAGAGAACUCGGGUGAAGGAACUAGGCAAAAUGGUGCCGUAACUUCGGGAGAAGGCACGCUGGUGUGUAGGUGAAGUCCCUGCGGAUGGAGCUGAGACCAGUCGAAGAUACCAGCUGGCUGCAACUGUUUAUUAAAAACACAGCACUGUGCAAACACGAAAGUGGACGUAUACGGUGUGACGCCUGCCCGGUGCCGGAAGGUUAAUUGAUGGGGUUAUCCGUAAGGAGAAGCUCUUGAUCGAAGCCCGGUAAACGGCGGCCGUAACUAUAACGGUCCUAAGGUAGCGAAAUUCCUUGUCGGGUAAGUUCCGACCUGCACGAAUGGCGUAAUGAUGGCGGGCUGUCUCCACCCGAGACUCAGUGAAAUUGAACUCGCUGUGAAGAUGCAGUGUACCCGCGGCAAGACGGAAAGACCCCGUGAACCUUUACUAUAGCUUGACACUGAACAUUGAGCCUUGAUGUGUAGGAUAGGUGGGAGGCUUUGAAGCGUGGACGCCAGUCUGCGUGGAGCCAACCUUGAAAUACCACCCUUUAAUGUUUGAUGUUCUAACGUUGGCCCUUACCGGGGUUGCGGACAGUGUCUGGUGGGUAGUUUGACUGGGGCGGUCUCCUCCCAAAGCGUAACGGAGGAGCACGAAGGUUAGCUAAUCUGGUCGGACAUCAGGAGGUUAGUGCAAUGGCAUAAGCUAGCUUGACUGCGAGCGUGACGGCGCGAGCAGGUGCGAAAGCAGGUCAUAGUGAUCCGGUGGUUCUGAAUGGAAGGGCCAUCGCUCAACGGAUAAAAGGUACUCCGGGGAUAACAGGCUGAUACCGCCCAAGAGUUCAUAUCGACGGCGGUGUUUGGCACCUCGAUGUCGGCUCAUCACAUCCGGGCUGAAGUAGGUCCCAAGGGUAUGGCUGUUCGCCAUUUAAAGUGGUACGCGAGCUGGGUUUAGAACGUCGUGAGACAGUUCGGUCCCUAUCUGCCGUGGGCGCUGGAGAAUUGAGGGGGCUGCUCCUAGUACGAGAGGACCGGAGUGGACGCAUCACUGGUGUUCGGGUUGUCAUGCCAAUGGCACUGCCCGGUAGCUAAAUGCGGAAGAGAUAAGUGCUGAAAGCAUCUAAGCACGAAACUUGCCCCGAGAUGAGUUCUCCCUGAGACUUUAAGUCUCCUGAAGGAACGUUAAAGACGAUGACGUUGAUAGGCCGGGUGUGUAAGCGCAGCGAUGCGUUGAGCUAACCGGUACUAAUGAACCGUGAGGCUUAACCUUACAACGCCGAAG